AACAAGUCCUGCUGAAUAGAGGACCUGAAUAGACUAAUCAAACAAAGUUAAGGAAAUAAAGUGAGGAAAAUAUUUGACUAGAAAAUCUGAAUGGACUAAUUGAUAACAAGAGUAGUAUUAUAUGAAAUAAGAAAAAUAUACUUGUUUGUGCCCUUAUUAAAUGAACAAAAUUUGAUUGAAGAUUUAUCAAACUUGCACAUCAAGUUUCAUUGCUUGCACGCU
rnacentral:lncRNA from 1 species